rfam:Candidatus Levybacteria bacterium RIFCSPLOWO2_01_FTLL_38_21 rifcsplowo2_01_scaffold_6113, whole genome shotgun sequence.
GGGUAAGUUACUCAUUAAUGCCAAUAAUGGAUGCCUAGGAGGCUUUGGCCGAGGAAGGACGCAUACGGCGGCGAUACUCGUCGGGUAGGUGCCAUAAACCUAUGAUCCGGCGGUUUCCGAAUGGGGCAACCCGGUCCCGCCUUUGGCGGGAUCAGCCUGUUGUAAAAAUAUAUCAGCAAUGGUAUAUAUAGCGACCGGCUGGGCACGGCGCGAACUGAAACAUCUUAGUAGCGCCAGGAAAAUAAAUCAUAUGAGAUUUCCUAAGUAGCGGCGAGCGAAAGGGGAGAAGUCUAAACCCCUCACCUUUUUGUUUCCAAUUAGUAUAAUUAAGCUAUGUAUUACCUUUAUGUUUUGAAAAGUAAGAAGAAUGGAAGUUUUUAUAUAGGAUCAACAAAGGAUUUAAGAAAGAGAUUUAAGCAACAUAAUUCUGGCAAGAGUUUAUUUUCGAAAAAGUUCUUGCCUUGGGAAUUAGUUUAUUACGAAGCAUAUCAAAAAUAUAAGUAUGCUUUUCGGAGAGAAAAAUCUUUUAAGAAAAGGGCAAAAGCAUGGCAAGAACUCUUAAAAAGAUUGGAGAUAAAAAGGUGAGGGGGGUUGUAGGACUGCAUUAAAGGAUCAGUUGAGGGUAGAAGAAAGCGCCGGAAUUGCGCUGCCAAAGAGAGUGAAAGUCCCGUACUCAAAACCCAAGACUGCCUUGCAGUAUCCUAAGUACCAUGGGGUACGAUAAAACCCUGUGGGAAUCUGGGACGUCCACGUUCCAAGACUAAAUACCAAAGUCUACCGAUAGUGAA